AUGCGCUCAGAGGCCUUCCAGUUCAUAGCCUUCAAGCUUGAGUCGUUGGACACCAUGACCAAGAAGGCAAGGUGGGUCAAGGUGAACAAGUUAGAUAACCGGGCCAUCUUUAUCAGCAUUGACGAGUGGUGCGAGGCGUUGCCGUGCAUGAACCUGGAGGGAUGGGGAGGGAGGAGCAACCACAUAUGCUUCCCAAGUUAUCGGUCUGAACAACCUUGGGCUGAAGUCCAACUAUGGAAAAUGUGUUAUUACCAUUCGACAUGUUCGCAGCUCUUCAACACUAGAAGACAGUACCUGAAAUUGGAGUCAACCUGGGUCUUCCCCGUGCAUUUCCUUGUUCCGGCCAGCGAUGAUCUUACGGCCGUGGGUGCGGUUGGUGAUUAG
rnacentral:rRNA from 1 species